ensembl:snoRNA SNORA70 Small nucleolar RNA SNORA70
UGGCAGCCAAUCAAGCUGACCAUGCUCGUCUCCCCGCAGGGGUCAGUGUACUUUGGUCCCAAACAGCAGUGUCCUCAGUGACGUGUGCAGCCUGUUGCCUGUACGCAUUGCUCUAGGGAACCUUGGAGCAGCC